CACCAUAUUUAGAUAAGUUUUGAACAUACAAGGACAGCCAGUGAAUUCCGGUAUCUGCUGGUAUUCGCCGCCAUAAGCGAAGCUUAGGCGUCCUGUAAAAUAGGAAAUGUAUGCAGUGCUUGAGAAUUCUGUUGGUGAAAUAUCGCAGAAAUGCUUUUGUUGAGUGAUAUCAUUUUUCUUUAUCUUCGUAUGGGGUUUCCCAACAUCAUUUUAAGGAACCUGAAAAUAAACAAGAAGAAAUAUGUAAAAGUGGUUUGGUAAAAAAGUUCAGUGAUAAAAUUAAUUCAAAUGUAAUCUGAUACUAACUAACGACAUAUACUAACAAAGAAUGGUAAAAUAAAAGAGACUCGAAAAACUGUAUGUAAGGCCUGUCAAAAUUCGAUUUUUAAUCAGCUCACCAACCUGGAGUAAUCACUCAAUCUGUUGUAAACUUGGCUAUAACCACGUAAGCGGUGUCUACGCCAAUAAAGAGGAAGAACCACUAAAGCAAAUCUGAAAAAUAGAAUAGAAUAAAAGAAAACUUGUUGAGCUGAUUGAGCUGAGCGGCCACA
rnacentral:lncRNA from 1 species